rnacentral:rRNA from 1 species
AUGAACGCUGGCGGCGUGCCUAAUACAUGCAAGUCGAGCGAACGGACGAGAAGCUUGCUUCUCUGAUGUUAGCGGCGGACGGGUGAGUAACACGUGGAUAACCUACCUAUAAGACUGGGAUAACUUCGGGAAACCGGAGCUAAUACCGGAUGAUAUUUUGAACCGCAUGGUUCAAAAGUGAAAGACGGUCUUGCUGUCACUUAUAGAUGGAUCCGCGCUGCAUUAGCUAGUUGGUAAGGUAACGGCUUACCAAGGCAACGAUGCAUAGCCGACCUGAGAGGGUGAUCGGCCACACCGGAACUGAGACACGGUCCAGACUCCUACGGGAGGCAGCAGUAGGGAAUCUUCCGCAAUGGGCGAAAGCCUGACGGAGCAACGCCGCGUGAGUGAUGAAGGUCUUCGGAUCGUAAAACUCUGUUAUUAGGGAAGAACAUAUGUGUAAGUAACUGUGCACAUCUUGACGGUACCUAAUCAGAAAGCCACGGCUAACUACGUG